CCCUUAGAUGUUCUGGGCCGCACGCGCGCUACACUGACCAGUGCAACAAGCAUCCGUCCUUGGCCGACAGGCUCGGGCAAUCUUUGAACGCUGGUCGUGAUGGGGAUAGACUUUUGCAAUUUUUGGUCUUCAACGAGGAAUUCCUAGUAAACGCAAGUCAUCAACUUGCAUUGAUUACGUCCCUGCCCUUUGUACACACCGCCCGUCGCACCUACCGAUUGAAUGGUCCGGUGAAGCCUCCGGAUUGGCGCGCACCUCGGUACCGCCGAGAAGUUGGCUAAACCUUACCAUUUAGAGGAAGGUGAANUCGUANCA
rnacentral:rRNA from 1 species